GCAGCUGCCUUUCUUCAGCCACUGUGUAUCCUGCCCUGCAGAGGGAUGCUGGCCCCUGCUGAAAGCCUUUGCAACAUUGGGUCUGCAGAGGGCAGCGUGGCUGUUUCAUCUGUUGGAAGCUGGAUUUUAACCAACAGCUGUAGCUGACAGUUUCAAGAAGGCCACUUCCACAUCCGUCUUACUCAGACAGUUGUAUGCAGUCUCCAAACUAAUAAUUCAUCAUUUGCACAUGUACUUCAUUAUUUUAUUAAUAUAUUAGAAGGGCUCUGAUUUAUUUAUUAAAAUAAUUAUUAUUCUUAUCAAAUGAUGACAUGUUAUUCAGGAAGAUGCAUUUGCUAUCUCACAACUAAUUGUGCCAAUUAAGUUUUCAUGGUUCUACCACAAAGUACAGCUCAUUCCUUACUUUUGAAAUGCAGCUGCUGAGAUACACACAGAAAGGAACAGGUAGGUUAUAGUUGUUAGUUAAUUUCUGCAAGUGGAGUUUGUUGUUAUUAGGUCUUCAGUGAUAUUUUCAGGCAAUCUGGUUUCUUGUUCCUUAUUUCCCAAGUAAUUUUGUGUCUUUUCCACCUAAAAGGGUUCUAAAUAUUGGUUUUGUUUGUUUGGUUUUUUACAGACUAGCCAUUUGCCACAGGACAUUGAACCAAGUUCAGAGAUAUUUCCUCAUAUAAAUCUGGUGGCUUAGUUCAGCCCUUAAUGGGAAUCGAUGGACAUCUGCAGAGAACAUCUUUCUUCACUGAGGUGGAACCAGCCCAGAAGGAGUGAUAGCAUUUUGAUGGAAAGCUGAGAUGCUGUGAUGGAUGCAAUAGCUGCUGCAAAUUGCCAGGGUGCUGCUCCCUCCUCCUCAGCCCCUCACACACCUCUCAGUGAUCGCAGGAACAGAGUUCAGCUGCAGAAGUGUUACUGCCAGUGACACGGGCUUUCUCCACCUUCUUUGUACGUGGUGGUUUUGGCUUUGCCACUUACUGGAAACUGUGCACGGUAAUGAAACUGAAUAUACCCUAGAGAAGCCUUUGCCAAAUGAAGGUUUUCACCCAUAGGUUUGUUCUCAACAAAGGAGGGGCUGGCAUCACAGAGCCAGUCAGCCGGGAGGACAACGUCUGGCUAGCAUCUGCCUCAUGGCCACAGAAAACCUACAAGCGAUCCACAGAAUUGCCAGCACCUGCCUAGCAGCAUAAGGAGAGGUGUCAUACAGGAGUCACUCUCCUAGAAGAGGAGUGAAGGAAUGACUGUGGGUGGUAGCUUGCCACCAGCUAUGGAUCCUUUAGGAAGCUUUGGAUAAAGGGUGGUGAAC
rnacentral:lncRNA from 1 species